GAUGAACGCUGGCGGCGUGCUUAACACAUGCAAGUCGAACGAUGAAGCCCAGCUUGCUGGGUGGAUUAGUGGCGAACGGGUGAGUAACACGUGAGUAACCUGCCCUUAACUCUGGGAUAAGCCUGGGAAACUGGGUCUAAUACCGGAUAGGAGCGUCCACCGCAUGGUGGGUGUUGGGAAGAUUUAUCGGUUUUGGAUGGACUCGCGGCCUAUCAGCUUGUUUGUGGGGUAAUGGUUCACCAAGGCCACGACGGGUAGCCGGCCUGAGAGGGUGACCGGCCACACUGGGACUGAGAGACGGCCCAGACUCCUACGGGAGGCAGCAGUGGGGAAUAUUGCACAAUGGGCGCAAGCCUGAUGCAGCGACGCCGCGUGAGGGAUGACGGCCUUCGGGUUGUAAACCUCUUUCAGUAGGGAAGAAGCGAAAGUGACGGUACCUGCAGAAGAAGCACCGGCUAACUACGUG
rnacentral:rRNA from 1 species